rnacentral:misc_RNA from 1 species
GAUGAAGAACGUAGCGAAAUGCGAUAAGUAGUGUGAAUUGCAGAAUUCAGUGAAUCAUCGAAUCUUUGAACGCACAUUGUGCCCCUCGGUAUUCCGUGGGGCAUGCCUGUUCGAGCGUCAUUUAACCCCUCAAGCCUAGCUUGGUAUUGGGUGCUUGUCCCGCCUCUCGCGCGGCGACUCACCUCAAAGUCAUUGGCAGCCCGCAUCUCGCCGGCCGUGAGCGCAGCACAGACGCGCUCUUGGCAACGACGGAUCGGCUCUCCAAAAGCUUAUUUCAACCACUGACCUCGGAUCAGGUAGGGAUACCCGCUGAACUUAAGCAUAUCAAUAAGCGGAGGA